GAUGAACGCUAGCGGCAGGCUUAACACAUGCAAGUCGAACGGCAGCACAGGUAGCAAUACUGGGUGGCGAGUGGCGCACGGGUGCGUAACGCGUAUGCAACCUACCUCUAUCUGGGAGAUAGCCCGAAGAAAUUCGGAUUAAUACCCCAUAAUAUAUGUCUUUCGCAUGUUAGACAUAUUAAAGCUUUGGCGGAUAGAGAUGGGCGUGCGUGACAUUAGCUAGUUGGUAAGGUAACGGCUUACCAAGGCUACGAUGUCUAGGGGUCGUGAGAGGAUUAUCCCCACACUAGUACUGAGACACGGACCAGACUCCUACGGGAGGCAGCAGUGAGGAAUAUUGGACAAUGGGCGAAAGCCUGAUCCAGCCAUGCCGCGUGCAGGAAGACGGCCCUAUGGGUUGUAAACUGCUUUUAUAUGGGAAUAAACCUCCGAACGUGUUCGGAGCUGAAGGUACCAUACGAAUAAGGAUCGGCUAACUCCGUGCCAG
rnacentral:rRNA from 1 species